GGUUCUGCGCUCUCUCCCCCCCCCCUCCACCCUACCCCGGGCUGCUGCGCGCGUGGGGUGGGUUGCAGGGCUCCGCGCACAGUCCCUGUGGCGCCCCUCCCCCUCGCCCCGCUGUGUAGGGGUCUUCCUCCGGAGCCCUGGGUCCCCUCCCAGGCGACAACUUCUGGGAGGUUGGAGCCGCGCGCUGCAAACCCUGGCCGCUGCGGGCGUGGUGGCGCGGCGUGGCGCGCAGGAGCUGCGGCGGCGGUGGUGACGGGGGUACCGGGAAGCAUCAUCGGGCCGGUGGAGUCCCGGUGGCAUGGCCGGGGCUUGCUUGGUUGGUGUCGGGCUUGCUCAGGCAGCCCAGCCAAAAGCACUAGGUUGGUGACCCUCCAGAACUGAUGGCUGCAUUUACCUGCAGACACGCGCGCUCUGGAGCCCGCUGCUGCCACCUGCGGGUGAAAAGCUGAAGGAAGCAACGUGCUGGAGCAAGGGAUGGUCCCUGGUAUUCAGAAAAGGAAGUUAGAGUUGCCGCCCCAGCAGCUACUGAAAACAUCCCUAAUUUUGCUAGAGUGAGGGUAUACUGUUGAGAUCCACGGCAGAAUAAAGCCAUUGGAAUAGAUUGCUGUGAGUGAUAACUGUUAAUGGAGCUUAAAAAAAAUACCAUCUAACUUCCUGUUUUUAGAGAUUUAUAACUGAAAAAAAAAAAGGGAAAAAAAAGAAGAAAGAAAGCUAAGCAACAAGCUUCCUGUGGCAAGUGGGACUUGCCUUACUUGGAAAAGGACAUUUGUGUAAGGGGUAACUUUAAUCAUACUGAGGACAUCCAAUGAUGGCUUCUUUGAACAAACAUUACAUUUCAGAGUAACUCGAGAUCGAAUGGGGCGUAGGGGCUGCAUUCUCCAGAAGUCAGACCGGAUAAUCAAAAGUGAUUUUUUUUUUUCCCAUCGUAGAAAGCCAAAGGCGUUUGAUCUCAUGAAAUUAUUAAUGUUCAUACUUUAUAUUGUAAUGAGUAUCUCUUUAAAUCGACCCAUUUGUAAACAAGCUUUCCUGGUGUAUUCAGAAGUGCUUCCAAUGGUUAAUAAAGUUCCAGUAUCCCUGUG